CCUACGGGGGGCAGCAGUAGGGAAUAUUGCUCAAUGGGGGAAACCCUGAAGCAGCAACGCCGCGUGGAGGAUGAAGGUUUUAGGAUUGUAAACCUCUGUCAGCAGGGAAGAACGGUCACUGUGCUAAUCAGCAGUGAAUUGACGGUACCUGCAAAGGAAGCACCGGCUAACUCCGUGCCAGCAGCCGCGGUAAUACGGAGGGUGCGAGCGUUAAUCGGAAUUACUGGGCGUAAAGCGCUCGUAGGCGGUAUGUCAAGUCAAGGGUGAAAUCCCCGCGCUCAACGUGGGAACUGCCUUUGAAACUGGCAAACUGGAGUGUGUGAGAGGAUAGUGGAAUUCCAGGUGUAGGAGUGAAAUCCGUAGAUAUCUGGAGGAACAUCAGUGGCGAAGGCGACUAUCUGGCACAUAACUGACGCUGAGGAGCGAAAGCGUGGGUAGCAAACAGGAUUAGAUACCCCAGUAGUC
rnacentral:rRNA from 1 species